AACGAACGCUGGCGGCAUGCCUAACACAUGCAAGUCGAACGAACCCUUCGGGGUGAGUGGCGCACGGGUGCGUAACACGUGGGAACCUGCCCUUAGGUUCGGAAUGACAGUUAGAAAUGACUGCUAAUACCGGAUAAUGUCUUCGGACCAAAGAUUUAUCGCCUUUGGAUGGGCCCGCGUAGGAUUAGCUAGUUGGUGAGGUAAAGGCUCACCAAGGCGACGAUCCUUAGCUGGUCUUAGAGGAUGAUCAGCCACACUGGGACUGAGACACGGCCCAGACUCCUACGGGAGGCAGCAGUGGGGAAUAUUGGACAAUGGGCGAAAGCCUGAUCCAGCAAUGCCGCGUGAGUGAUGAAGGCCUUAGGGUUGUAAAGCUCUUUUACCUGGGAUGAUAAUGACAGUACCAGGAGAAUAAGCCCCGGCUAACUCUGUGCCAGCAGCCGCCGUAAAAC
rnacentral:rRNA from 1 species